CCAGCAUGAGUUAUGUCAUGUUAUCGAUAUGUGAAUACAUAGCAUAUCAGAAGGCACACCCGGAGAACUGAAACAUCUUAGUACCCGGAGGAAGAGAAAGAAAAUUCGAUUCCCUUAGUAGCGGCGAGCGAAACGGGAAGAGCCCAAACCAACAAGCUUGCUUGUUGGGGUUGUAGGACACUCUAUACGGAGUUACAAAGGACGACAUUAGACGAAUCAUCUGGAAAGAUGAAUCAAAGAAGGUAAUAAUCCUGUAGUCGAAAAUGUUGUCUCUCUUGAGUGGAUCCUGAGUACGACGGAGCACGUGAAAUUCCGUCGGAAUCUGGGAGGACCAUCUCCUAAGGCUAAAUACUCUCUAGUGACCGAUAGUGAACCAGUACCGUGAGGGAAAGGUGAAAAGCACCCCGGAAGGGGAGUGAAAUAGAACCUGAAACCGUGUGCUUACAAGUAGUCAGAGCCCGUUAAUGGGUGAUGGCGUGCCUUUUGUAGAAUGAACCGGCGAGUUACGAUUUGAUGCAAGGUUAAGCAGUAAAUGUGGAGCCGUAGCGAAAGCGAGUCUGAAUAGGGCGUUUAGUAUUUGGUCGUAGACCCGAAACCAGGUGAUCUACCCUUGGUCAGGUUGAAGUUCAGGUAACACUGAAUGGAGGACCGAACCGACUUACGUUGAAAAGUGAGCGGAUGAACUGAGGGUAGCGGAGAAAUUUCAAUCGAACCUGGAGAUAGCUGGUUCUCUCCGAAAUAGCUUUAGGGCUAGCCUCAAGUGAUGAUUAUUGGAGGUAGAGCACUGUUUGGACGAGGGGCCCCUCUCGGGUUACCGAAUUCAGACAAACUCCGAAUGCCAAUUAAUUUAACUUGGGAGUCAGAACAUGGGUGAUAAGGUCCGUGUUCGAAAGGGAAACAGCCCAGACCACCAGCUAAGGUCCCAAAAUAUAUGUUAAGUGGAAAAGGAUGUGGCGUUGCCCAGACAACUAGGAUGUUGGCUUAGAAGCAGCCAUCAUUUAAAGAGUGCGUAAUAGCUCACUAGUCGAGUGACACUGCGCCGAAAAUGUACCGGGGCUAAACAUAUUACCGAAGCUGUGGAUUGUCCUUUGGACAAUGGUAGGAGAGCGUUCUAAGGGCGUUGAAGCAUGAUCGUAAGGACAUGUGGAGCGCUUAGAAGUGAGAAUGCCGGUGUGAGUAGCGAAAGACGGGUGAGAAUCCCGUCCACCGAUUGACUAAGGUUUCCAGAGGAAGGCUCGUCCGCUCUGGGUUAGUCGGGUCCUAAGCUGAGGCCGACAGGCGUAGGCGAUGGAUAACAGGUUGAUAUUCCUGUACCACCUAUAAUCGUUUUAAUCGAUGGGGGGACGCAGUAGGAUAGGCGAAGCGUGCGAUUGGAUUGCACGUCUAAGCAGUAAGGCUGAGUAUUAGGCAAAUCCGGUACUCGUUAAGGCUGAGCUGUGAUGGGGAGAAGACAUUGUGUCUUCGAGUCGUUGAUUUCACACUGCCGAGAAAAGCCUCUAGAUAGAAAAUAGGUGCCCGUACCGCAAACCGACACAGGUAGUCAAGAUGAGAAUUCUAAGGUGAGCGAGCGAACUCUCGUUAAGGAACUCGGCAAAAUGACCCCGUAACUUCGGGAGAAGGGGUGCUCUUUAGGGUUAACGCCCAGAAGAGCCGCAGUGAAUAGGCCCAAGCGACUGUUUAUCAAAAACACAGGUCUCUGCUAAACCGUAAGGUGAUGUAUAGGGGCUGACGCCUGCCCGGUGCUGGAAGGUUAAGAGGAGUGGUUAGCUUCUGCGAAGCUACGAAUCGAAGCCCCAGUAAACGGCGGCCGUAACUAUAACGGUCCUAAGGUAGCGAAAUUCCUUGUCGGGUAAGUUCCGACCCGCACGAAAGGCGUAACGAUUUGGGCACUGUCUCAACGAGAGACUCGGUGAAAUCAUAGUACCUGUGAAGAUGCAGGUUACCCGCGACAGGACGGAAAGACCCCGUGGAGCUUUACUGUAGCCUGAUAUUGAAAUUCGGCACAGCUUGUACAGGAUAGGUAGGAGCCUUUGAAACGUGAGCGCUAGCUUACGUGGAGGCGCUGGUGGGAUACUACCCUAGCUGUGUUGGCUUUCUAACCCGCACCACUUAUCGUGGUGGGAGACAGUGUCAGGCGGGCAGUUUGACUGGGGCGGUCGCCUCCUAAAAGGUAACGGAGGCGCUCAAAGGUUCCCUCAGAAUGGUUGGAAAUCAUUCAUAGAGUGUAAAGGCAUAAGGGAGCUUGACUGCGAGACCUACAAGUCGAGCAGGGUCGAAAGACGGACUUAGUGAUCCGGUGGUUCCGCAUGGAAGGGCCAUCGCUCAACGGAUAAAAGCUACCCCGGGGAUAACAGGCUUAUCUCCCCCAAGAGUUCACAUCGACGGGGAGGUUUGGCACCUCGAUGUCGGCUCAUCGCAUCCUGGGGCUGUAGUCGGUCCCAAGGGUUGGGCUGUUCGCCCAUUAAAGCGGUACGCGAGCUGGGUUCAGAACGUCGUGAGACAGUUCGGUCCCUAUCCGUCGUGGGCGUAGGAAAUUUGAGAGGAGCUGUCCUUAGUACGAGAGGACCGGGAUGGACAUACCUCUGGUGUACCAGUUGUCGUGCCAACGGCAUAGCUGGGUAGCUAUGUGUGGACGGGAUAAGUGCUGAAAGCAUCUAAGCAUGAAGCCCCCCUCAAGAUGAGAUUUCCCAACUUCGGUUAUAAGAUCCCUCAAAGAUGAUGAGGUUAAUAGGUUCGAGGUGGAAGCAUGGUGACAUGUGGAGCUGACGAAUACUAAUCGAUCGAAGACUUAAUCAA
rnacentral:rRNA from 1 species